AUUGCUUCUCGGCCUUUUGGCUAAGACAAAGUGUAUUAUCUGUUCUUAUCCGUUUAAUAUCUCAUACGUCCCCUAUCUGUCAUCCAAAAAUAGAAUGAAUUGCUGACUUUCUUUGUCAGGUGCAUUUGUGUGUGCAUUGACAACUGAAAACUGGGUAGAUGCUAGAAUCAAGUGGGCUAAGGGACCUUUU